ACGGAAGGCAGCAGUGGGGAAUAUUGCACAAUGGAGGAAACUCUGAUGCAGCAACGCCGCGUGAGUGAAGAAGUAUUUCGGUAUGUAAAGCUCUAUCAGCAGGGAAGAAAAUGACGGUACCUGACUAAGAAGCCCCGGCUAACUACGUGCCAGCAGCCGCGGUAAUACGUAGGGGGCAAGCGUUAUCCGGAUUUACUGGGUGUAAAGGGAGCGUAGGUGGCAACGCAAGUCAGAAGUGAAAGCCCGGGGCUCAACUCCGGGACUGCUUUUGAAACUGUGUAGCUAGAGUGCAGGAGAGGUAAGUGGAAUUCCUAGUGUAGCGGUGAAAUGCGUAGAUAUUAGGAGGAACACCGGUGGCGAAGGCGGCUUACUGGACUGUAACUGACACUGAGGCUCGAAAGCGUGGGGAGCAAACAGGAUUAGAUACCCUGGUA
rnacentral:rRNA from 2 species